GUAGGUGGCAAGCGUUGUCCGGAUUUACUGGGUGUAAAGGGCGUGCAGCCGGAGAGACAAGUCAGAUGUGAAAUCCACAGGCUCAACCUGUGAACUGCAUUUGAAACUGUUUCCCUUGAGUAUCGGAGAGGUCAUCGGAAUUCCUAGUGUAGCGGUGAAAUGCGUAGAUAUUAGGAAGAACACCAGUGGCGAAGGCGGAUGACUGGACGACAACUGACGGUGAGGCGCGAAAGCGUGGGGAGCAA
rnacentral:rRNA from 1 species